GCCGGGGUGGCGGAAUUUGGUAGACGCAAGGGACUUAAAAUCCCUCGGAGACUUGUCUCCGUGCCGGUUCGAGUCCGGCCCUCGGCACCA
rnacentral:tRNA from 1 species